AUAACGUUCUGAAACGGACGCUAAUACCGCAUAACGCAUAUUGACCGCAUGAUUCGGUAGCCAAAGAUUUAUUGCGCAGAGAGGGGCUCGCGUCUGAUUAGAUAGUUGGUGAGGUAACGGCCCACCAAGUCGACGAUCGGUAGCCGGACUGAGAGGUUGAACGGCCACAUUGGAACUGAGAUACGGUCCAGACUCCUACGGGAGGCAGCAGUGGGGAAUAUUGGGCAAUGGGCGAAAGCCUGACCCAGCGACGCCGCGUGAAGGAAGACGGUCUUCGGAUUGUAAACUUCUUUUAUAUGGGACGAACACAUGACGGUACCAUAUGAAUAAGCCACGGCUAACUACGUGCCAGCAGCCGCGGUAAUACGUAGGUGGCGAGCGUUAUCCGGAUUUACUGGGUGUAAAGGGUGUGUAGGCGGGACUGCAAGUCGGAUGUGAAAAUCACAGGCUUAACCUGUGACCUGCAUUCGAAACUGUGGUUCUUGAGGGUCGGAGAGGUAACUGGAAUUCCUGGUGUAGCGGUGAAAUGCGUAGAUAUCAGGAGGAACACCGGUGGCGAAGGCGGGUUACUGGACGAUUACUGACGCUGAGACACGAAAGCGUGGGGAGCAAACAGGAUUAGAUACCCUGGUAGUCCACGCUGUAAAC
rnacentral:rRNA from 1 species